rnacentral:rRNA from 1 species
GAUGAACGCUAGCUACAGGCUUAACACAUGCAAGUCGAGGGGCAGCGCAGUGUAGCAAUACAUGGGCGGCGACCGGCGCACGGGUGCGUAACGCGUAUCCAACCUUCCCGUUACUCAGGGAUAGCCUUCCGAAAGGGAGAUUAAUACCUGAUGGUGUUUGAAUUCCGCAUGUUAUUCAAACUAAAGAUUUAUCGGUAACGGAUGGGGAUGCGUGACAUUAGAUAGUAGGCGGGGUAACGGCCCACCUAGUCUACGAUGUCUAGGGGUUCUGAGAGGAAGGUCCCCCACACUGGAACUGAGACACGGUCCAGACUCCUACGGGAGGCAGCAGUGAGGAAUAUUGGUCAAUGGUCGGAAGACUGAACCAGCCAAGUAGCGUGAAGGAUGAAGGUUCUAUGGAUUGUAAACUUCUUUAUACGGGAAUAAAACCACCUACGUGUAGGUGCUUGUAUGUACCGUAUGAAUAAGCAUCGGCUAACUCCGUG